rnacentral:rRNA from 1 species
UGGGGAAUAUUGGACAAUGGGCGCAAGCCUGAUCCAGCCAUGCCGCGUGUGUGAAGAAGGCCUUUUGGUUGUAAAGCACUUUAAGCGAGGAGGAGGCUACUUGGAUUAAUACUCUAGGAUACUGGACGUUACUCGCAGAAUAAGCACCGGCUAACUCUGUGCCAGCAGCCGCGGUAAUACAGAGGGUGCGAGCGUUAAUCGGAUUUACUGGGCGUAAAGCGGUCGUAGGCGGCUUCUUAAGUCGGAUGUGAAAUCCCUGAGCUUAACUUAGGAAUUGCAUUCGAUACUGGGAAGCUAGAGUAUGGGAGAGGAUGGUAGAAUUCCAGGUGUAGCGGUGAAAUGCGUAGAGAUCUGGAGGAAUACCGAUGGCGAAGGCAGCCAUCUGGCCUAAUACUGACGCUGAGGUACGAAAGCAUGGGGAGCAAACAGG